GGGUUGUGAGGUUAAGCGACUAAGCGUACACGGUGGAUGCCCUGGCAGUCAGAGGCGAUGAAGGACGUGCUAAUCUGCGAUAAGCGUCGGUGAGGUGAUAUGAACCGUUAUAACCGGCGAUUUCCGAAUGGGGAAACCCAGUGUGUUUCGACACACUAUCAUUAACUGAAUCCAUAGGUUAAUGAGGCGAACCGGGGGAACUGAAACAUCUAAGUACCCCGAGGAAAAGAAAUCAACCGAGAUUCCCCCAGUAGCGGCGAGCGAACGGGGAGGAGCCCAGAGCCUGAAUCAGUGUGUGUGUUAGUGGAAGCGUCUGGAAAGGCGCGCGAUACAGGGUGACAGCCCCGUACACAAAAAUGCACAUAUUGUGAGCUCGAUGAGUAGGGCGGGACACGUGGUAUCCUGUCUGAAUAUGGGGGGACCAUCCUCCAAGGCUAAAUACUCCUGACUGACCGAUAGUGAACCAGUACCGUGAGGGAAAGGCGAAAAGAACC
rnacentral:rRNA from 1 species